GUCAGGAAGAACUUCAGGCCAGGGCUCAGCUGGGCUUCAGGUGCACUGUGGGGAAGGGCAUCCAUGCGCAGCACAUACACUAAAUCGAGACCUAUCAGGCUUACAAAUUAAGAUGCUGUCAGCUGGUCCACAAAGAACACUGCCAGGCAAAAGAGGAGAGCUGACUUACUGUAUCUAGCCAAGAUGUCAGCUUUACUCCUGAGUUUGAAAACAUCACUGUGAUACAGAGAGUCUGCAGGUGAAAAUACAUGGAGGCUCUGGACUUCUGCAGCACAUGACCAGCAUGGCCCCAGCGGGCUGUGGAUGCCGGUGUUGCGGAUGCCUCGUGCACUGCGUGCUUUGCCUGUAAACUGCUGGUCUGAAAUGGUUGCUUUGGAAGGGCUCCCAUCUUCGCCAACGAUUACUCGAGGGAUUUGGCUUCCAAGACUUUUAAUUGACUUGUAAUUAGUGUAAUUGAUCCAACUAAUGAUACUACUCUGAACAGAGUCCUGUUAGGAAUGCAUGUUCUGAAUUUAGUUGACAUAACAAGA